UAUGGCGACCGGCGCACGGGUGAGUAACACGUAUCCAACCUGCCGAUGACUCGGGGAUAGCCUUUCGAAAGAAAGAUUAAUACCCGAUGGCAUAGUUCUUCCGCAUGGUAGAACUAUUAAAGAAUUUCGGUCAUCGAUGGGGAUGCGUUCCAUUAGGUUGUUGGCGGGGUAACGGCCUACCAAGCCUUCGAUGGAUAGGGGUUCUGAGAGGAAGGUCCCCCACAUUGGAACUGAGACACGGUCCAA
rnacentral:rRNA from 1 species